UUUCGUAGGGGUUAGCCCAUAGAUUUUGAGAAAAAUUCAAAAAUAUGAAAAUUCUGUUUUAAUGCAUAAUUGCAUCCUUCACUAACAUAUGAUGAAGGUCAAAGAGGUUUGAAACUUUUGUUGUCUCCAUUUCCCUAGAAAAUAGCGAUUUUAUAGUGGUUAGUCCACCAAUUUAGGGAGUAUUAUGAAGUUUUACAAAAUUAAUUGACAAAAAAUUAAAACGAUGCCCUUGUACCAUGACAAAGAGUUUAAUAUACAUUAAUAAAAAUGUAGAAUGUGUUUAAAAUUUUUAAAACAACCCCAAAGCUCAUAUUCUUCAUUAUUAAAACAUUUACC